AACGAACGCUGGCGGCGCGCCUAAUACAUGCAAGUCGAGCGAGAAGACGUAGCAAUACGUUUGUAAAGCGGCGAACGGGUGAGGAAUACAUGGGUAACCUACCCUCGAGUGGGGAAUAACUAGCCGAAAGGUUAGCUAAUACCGCGUACGCUCCUUGGACUUCGGUUCAGGGAGGAAAGCGAUACCGUGGGUAUCGCGCUCUUGGAUGGGCUCAUGUCCUAUCAGCUUGUUGGGAGGUAACGGCUCACCAAGGCUUCGACGGGUAGCUGGUCUGAGAGGACGAUCAGCCACACUGGCACUGCGACACGGGCCAGACUCCUACGGGAGGCAGCAGUAAGGAAUAUUGCGCAAUGGGCGAAAGCCUGACGCAGCGACGCCGCGUGGGGGAUGAAGGUCUUCGGAUUGUAAACCCCUUUCGGAGGGAGAUGGAACGAGCAAUCGUUCGGACGGUACCUCCAGAAGCAGCCACGGCUAACUUCGUGCCAG
rnacentral:rRNA from 1 species